rnacentral:rRNA from 1 species
UACGAAGGGGGGCUAGCGUUGUUCGGAAUCACUGGGCGUAAAGGGCGCGUAGGCGGCUUUGUAAGUCGGGGGGUGAAGGCCUGUGGCUCAACCACAGAAUUGCCUUCGAUACUGCAUGGCUUGAGACCGGAAGAGGUUAGUGGAACUGCGAGUGUAGAGGUGAAAUUCGUAGAUAUUCGCAAGAACACCAGUGGCGAAGGCGGCUGACUGGUCCGGUUCUGACGCUGAGGCGCGAAAGCGUGGGGAGCAAACAGG